UUUUGAUUCAUUGUUAAAAUAGAGGCUGUGACCCUGGCACUAGCACCUCCACCGCCCGGGAAGAUUCGUGGAGGAAACUGGAGUCACAAAGAGCACACGAAGAGUCCUUGUCUAGACCCCUGGAAAAGGAGCCUCGUUCUCCUUCCAAGACGAUGCUCCACUUGGUGGUUGAACCAGGAAAGAACAGCCCUGGCCCCACCUAGAGAG